rnacentral:rRNA from 1 species
GACGUAGGGGGCCAGCGUUGCUCGGAAUUACUGGGUGUAAAGGGUUCGUAGGCGGUGCGGCAAGUUGGGAGUGAAAUCUCUGGGCUUAACCCAGAGGCUGCUUCCAAAACUGCUGUGCUUGAGUGUGGGAGAGGCGCGUGGAAUUGCAGGUGUAGCGGUGAAAUGCGUAGAUAUCUGCAGGAACACCCGUGGCGAAAGCGGCGCGCUGGACCACUACUGACGCUGAGGAACGAAAGCUAGGGGAGCAAACAGG